rnacentral:rRNA from 1 species
UUGAAUGGCCGCAGUAUAUUGACUGUGCAAAGGUAGCAUAAUCAUUAGUUUCUUAAUUAGGAACUGGAAUGAAGGGUUGGACGAGAAAAUAGCUGUCUCUUUAUAAAUUUUUUAGAAUUUUAUUUUUAAGUUAAAAAGCUUAAAUAUUUUUAAAAGACGAGAAGACCCUAUAGAGUUUUAUAUAUACUUUAUAAAUAGUAUUUUUGGAAUAAUGUUAUAUUUUUUUAAAUUAUAUAUUUAGUUGGGGUGAUUAGAAAAUUUAAUAAACUUUUUUUUUAUAAAAACAUUUAUUUAUGAAAUAUUGAUCCAUUAUAAUGAUUAUAAGAUUAAAUUACCUUAGGGAUAACAGCGUAAUUUCUUUGAAGAGUUCUAAUCGAUAAAGGAGUUUGCGACCUCGAUGUUGGAUUAAAAUUUAAUUUUGGUGUAGAAGCUAAAAUAUUAGGUCUGUUCGACCUUUAAAAUUUUACAUGAUCUGAGUUUAAACCGGUGUGAGCCAGGUUGGUUUCUAUCUUUAAAAAUAAUUAAUAUUUUAGUACGAAAGGACCAGAUAUUAGUAAAAUUUACUUAUAAUUGAUUAUUAUUAAUUA